GAUUCAAAUAUAAGUAUAACGUGUGAAGACUGCUUUGGAUUCAAUUAUGCAAGUCCAAAAGGUGAUGAUUGUCGGUAUGAGUCUGGUUGCUAUGGAGAACCAGGAUCACAAUGUUCCAAACACACCUUGACCUGUGAUGUAGAUGAAGUUAUAUCAAUGGAUGAAAGAUACGAGAUACGUAAAAUACAUUAUGGUACCAAGAUCAACCCGUACUGUAAUACGAGUCUAGAUACCAACCCAUGUAAUGACAGGACAUGUUGUAGGAAACAUAUAACAGAUCUAUCAUCACCUGUAGAUAGAGACUACCGAUUACAGGUUUACAUCAACUGUUCUAAUAAAUAUACCUGUAGCCUCACCUCUCCUUUCACACCUGGAGCUGAUUACGAUUAUAUCUACUAUCCUUAUAUAUGUAUACCAGUCUCUUCCAUAAAUAACCUGGCUGAGAUAACCAACACAUCUAUAAACCGUGGUGACUAUUUAUAUAUUUCUGGUAAAACACCAUCCUUCACCAAAUGUUGUAAUAUUACCAACCAAGGACAAAUUCAGGUAGAAUCUAUAUUCAUUCGUUUGAGUGCCGAAUCUAGUAAAAGGAUCCAGAUGACG